ensembl:lncRNA
AUGUCUGGGCUAAAUUUACAUUGUGGACUGAUGCAAUUGUGGAGUCUACAAAGCAGAACAAAGCUCAACUCUUUCCUAUUGCUUUUGUCAGUUUUAAUGGAUGAUAAUGAGCCCCUUCCUUCUUUCCAUUCUGCUUUAACAUGCUCUUCCCUCGCACUUGAUCGAUUCACCUUUACUUUUUUAUUCUCAUGCAUGUCCGCAGAAGCCAAAACUAUCGCUCCUGGCUCUCCUGUUUCAGUGAAACAGCAACUCAAAAAAUCAUAUUAUAAAUAAAUAAAAGUUUAAAAAAAGACAUUUGCUGUGGAUCUAUAAGAAAACAUCAUUUAAAGUGUCCACAUAUUAAAAUAAGUUAAUACUGUGAAGCGAAUGGCGAUACUCAAACUCCCAUGGUUUGUUUUUGUGUACCAGCCCACAAAUGAGCCUGGAUCAGCUCAAUGGGGUUUUAUAUGUUGUGAGGGAGCAGUGUUGGGAACGAAAACGGAUUUAAAACUGGUUUUAAGCCUUGAACUGUGCUGGUACCAUUUCUCCGAAAACGAAACGUAAAAACUAAACAAUAGUAGGCGUCACAGAGUACAUUUCAUUCAAAUGGAUUCAAAUGUUUAACAUUUCUUGCAUACCAACAUUUAAUUAUGUUUAAAAGUGAGCAUUGAAGGCAUAUCUAAAGGCCAAAUACAACGCUUCAAAUCUCCAGUUUAUUAGUGAAAGGCCACUGCCGCCAUGUUCAUAUGAUGUUCAUCAGAAAAGCUAAAAGGAAGAAAAUCCUGAUAUUGACAAACUUUGUGUAAAAAGAAAUGAGACGUCUUGCUGAGGAGGCUUUGCUGCCCCCACGGGGCAGUGCAGGGUACUACACCAAGGUGUUUCCACAGAGGUGAGAGUCGUUCCUCAUGGGAAUGAGAGAACGCAGAAAAGAGGAAUGUGCUCGUUCUUGUAUAUUCCUUGGCUCAUCUUGGUUUAAAAUGGAAGUUCUCAUUCAGUUCUCCACUUUUACUGCAAUAAACUGCUGGUGUACGUAAACAUGAAUGGUAAAAGACUUGACUCAGUAAAAAUUAGAAGUCAAAAUGAUGUCUUGCGAUGAUUCAUAAAGUUGGUUUUCAUGCUACAUCAAGUUCUCUUUAUAGAUUUUAAAGACCUGGUUUUAUUUUGAAAGGUAGUGGAUUCUGUAACUUCCUAAUACGUGCGGGAGAAAAUAACAAAGUAGAACUAAAAAUGCUCUGAUUUAACUCCAAGACCUGCAAAGUCAACACUGCAAAAGCCAAACCAAAAAUCUCGAGGAAGGUAUUAAACCACUGUUACGCACAUACAGCACCCCGUGAGGGGAGGGGAACGUACAUCGCGCUGCCAAGAACCCCAGAAGGCCAGAGACCGGGUGUGGGCGCAAGUAAUCACACCAACACCGAUGGGUUUGGUUUAAACAGGCUAGCAUGUGCCAGUUUAAUAAUAAACAAUAGAGGGAAAUGGGAGAACGGCUGAGCUGAUCCAAAAC